CGUAACGGACGCGGGGUACGCGUGGGACAUGUCCCCCGCACUUUCCACAUCUGUCCCCUCUGUCCCCCGCACUUUUUUCAGCCGUUACAACAGCUAAACCCGUUAUUAGCAUCCAGUAACGUGUUUUCCCGAGCCGUCUUUGAACGCACCAUGAGCGCAUGCUAACGCAGGUGUUCCACAGGAGACGUGCUGCUGUGCUGAGCAGUGCUGAACGUGCGUCUGGAGUAAUGUUUAGCAAACCAGCCAGAGCUAGCAAGAAGCAAAAAACUUUACACAGUUCUUUCCAAACAAACCGUAAAGAGCAGAGUCAGGGAGGAGAUGGAUCAGAGGCCAGCAGCAGGGACAAGGAUGUAGGGUCUUUACAGCACAUUCUCAAGCGAAUGGAGGAGAUUCCAGGAGACAGGCAGUUAGUCUGGGAGAGCUGGACAGGGCUGCAGAAGGUCCUCAACCCAUCAGCAGGACAGGUAUCUGCUCCUUUGUGCAAGGAGGAACAGGAUGAGCACUGCAAUAGCUCUACAAAAUGACCUCCAGCAGACCACUGGUGUUAAUGUCUCUGAUCAAACAAUCCGAA